rnacentral:rRNA from 1 species
UACGGAGGGUGCAAGCGUUAUCCGGAUUCACUGGGCUUAAAGGGUGCGUAGGUGGGCUGGUAAGUCAGUGGUGAAAUCUCUAGGCUUAACCUGGAAACUGCCAUUGAUACUAUCAGUCUUGAAUAUUGUGGAGGUCAGCGGAAUAUGUCAUGUAGCGGUGAAAUGCGUAGAUAUGACAUAGAACACCAAUUGCGAAGGCAGCUAACUGGGCAUAUAUUGACGCUGAGGCACGAAAGCGUGGGGAGCAAACAGG